UUUUUGUUAUAAUUCCUCACCGUGCCCUAUUCCUCCCUAAUCGCCGAACCCUUCCUCACCUCAUCUCGUCGCCGCCCUGAUUCUUCCUCCUCUCUCGCACCGUUUACUCCCUGCUCCUCAUCUUCUCCAACUGGCGCCCCUUUCUCUUCUUUCAUGUCAUCUUCCCUCCUCUGUCAUCGUCUUCUCAUCGCAAAGGUCCUCACCACGCCGAUUGUCACGAGAGCACCGCCGACAGCAGUCAUUCUCUCCGCGAGCCUCACCAACACCAAGCUCUCUAGGCUAUCAGGUGGCCCGAUCCUCUUCUACUUUUUCCCCUUGCAUCUCUGCCCUAGAUGCAGUCGGCGUCAUCGCAUCCGACCACAGUACCUGCAAUUUUGGGUUGCUAGCGUCGCUGCCAUCUCUUUCACCGGCUGUCACUUCUUCCUCUUCCAUCUGCCACCAUCAAAGAGCUGAGUACACAGGAGAGUAGGAUUGUUCUUCCGCGUAUCAGCAAUUGUGAGGGGUUACCACGCGUUGCCCCCUUCAAUUGUGUCGUGGCCAUCCGGUCGCCCACAAGGAGAUAUGAGAUGUUGUCAUCUCUAUUCCUCUUCCCUGUUUGAUAGCUGUCACAGCUUAUCAACAGAUUGGCAUCUUCUGGAUUGCAGAUCCAUUGCUACGGUGACCCCAUUUGUGCUUGGAUUUGUGCCACUGUUGUGUAUCGGUGAAUUCUGAGGUGGUGAGGGUUGUUGGACUCAAGAAUUUCUUUUAUUUUUUCCUUUUCUUUUAUUUUUUAUUCACAAGAAUUUCUUUUUUCAUUUUCCUUUUUUUCUAACAUUUGUACUCUUUGCAUUCUCAUUUCUAUGUUUAGUGUUUAUUGUAUUUUAGGUUGUUACAUAUUGUUUCCUUAUAGCCACAAUGAUCUAACUAAUUUGUAGAUGAGAAUGAGGUUAUCUAGAGGUAAUCAAGUUAUCCAAGAAUUAUACCUAAUUAUUUAAUUAGGUAAUUCUACUUUUCCAUAUUCUAGUGUGACUUAUGUUUCACUCGUUAGUAUCAUGCAGGAUACCAAGAGCAAACGUUGCAUUAGCCACAACAACCAAGAGCAAAUGUUGGAUUCAAAACCAUCUUUUAAUCUUUUGCUUGAUACUAUUUGCUUACUAUCUUCUAUAGUUUUGUUUAUUAACAUUAUAGGAUUAUUUCUUAGCAAUAUUUAUAGUUCGUGUGGUAUUGUGUUUGUAGAUAUUAAAUUUUUUUAGUUUAUGAUUUAAAUUAAUCAAUGUAUAGUAAGAAGACCAGCAAGUUUUUUCUAUUAUCUUGUAUUUGAUUUUGUUAUAGGUACUUAGAGAUUCUAAGUUUGAGAUACAAAUUUGAAGAAAAUCCUACUUAAGUAUUUGUUCACACUAACCUAUUUUUUAUGGUUUUGUGAUGCCUAUUGUUUCACAGCCAAGAGAGUCUUCAUGACUUGUUAAUUCUUUAGCAUUGAUGACUAUGGACUAAUUAGUAGAUUUUCUCAACAAAAUUGGUUGGUUCAUUCAUCUGUAUAAGAGAAGCAAUUUAUCUCAUGAAAUUCGAAGACAGGGAGGGCAAAAAGAAGAAAUUGAAGGCAUGCAUACUAUUAGCUUGAGGAUGGAGGAACAAAUUAUUGAAAGGGAAAACAAACUUGUUAUUACAGAAAGUAGGCAGAGAGAAAAAAAUCUCAAGGAGAUGAUUCAGAAAUGAUUCAAGAAAUGGAAUAUACUAAUUAUUUAUAUCUAGAAAAAUUUGGUCUUUAUAGUUUGAUUAUUGGUCAAAUUUGUUUGGAUAAUGUAAAUUUUAUUUAUUUUAAUGUUAAUUGUAUAAUACAUUUGGAAUUAAAA